AUGGGAAGGGAUGCUCUGGGUGUCCUGGGAGAUGGGAAGGGAUGCUCUGAGUGUCCUGGGAGAUGGGAAGGGAUGCUCUGGGUGUCUCUGGGAGAUGGGAAGGGAUGCUCUGGGUGUCCUGGGAGAUGGGAAGGGAUGCUCUGGGUGUCCUGGGAGUGCAUUUCCAGCAGCAGGUCGUGGCUCUUGGGCAGUGAAUGCCAGUCAGGCUGUGACUUGGCUUUUCCCAGCACAUCCCAGCCUCUCUCAGCUUGGGGGCCUGGGAGUUCCUGAUUUCCUACCUGGCUGCAGGGAUUUCACAGGAACCUUUCCCUUCCACCCUUUCCAGCUGUGGUUUGGGGUUUGGUUCUUUUCCUUUUCAUCCUUUUCCGUGCAGGGGGAAAUUCCCAAGUGGACACAGAGGUUGUGGGGUGGGAGUUGUGCCCCAGGAUUCUGGGGCUGUUCCCUUCUCCUCCCCGGGCUGGGCUUGGCCAGGAGGGCCUUGAGUCCCUCCCCACCAGUUUGCCUGUUGGCCAGACUGGGGAAACUGGGACAAAGCAGAGGUUUGGAGCCAGGCCCACUGCUGGAUUUCGUGGUGCCAGCAGAGCUCAAACUGUCCCUGUUUCCAGGGGGGGACACUUGAGGUGACAACAGUUCUUGGAGGUUCCUGGGGGAUGUGAAGGCAAAUUGUCCUGCUCUGCUGAUCUUAAAAUCCCAGGAGGUGCAAAUCCCACCUGACUUGCAGCUUUAGGAGCUGGGACUUUGUUUUCAGAGUUUUGGUAGAGGCAGAAACACUUCCCAGUUCAGUUCUUUUCCAAAUUACGUGGAAAAGAUUGACCCCCCCCCUCUCUCUUGUGCUUCUGCUGGGGGAGUGAAAGGAGGAGGAAUUCUUUUUUUUGCAUGUGAUAGAUGAAAAAAGUGCAAAAAAAAAAAAAAAAAGGUUCUGUUUCUUUGGGUUUCUAACACUGAGUUAGUUUUAUAGUAUCUUACAUUCCUGCUCUCGUCGUUUCGUUUCGUUUUUUUAAAUUAGCCUGGCACAGUUACCAUGGUGCAGUCCUAGCUGUAGGUUUAAAAAAAAAUAAAAAGAAAUAAAUUUAAAAAUGCUAAAAAAAA
rnacentral:lncRNA from 1 species